AUGGGCAAAAAAGCCAUCCGAUACGCCGUGGUGGAUGCCUUCGCGGCUGAGCCGUUCAAGGGCAACCCCGCCGCAGUAUGCCUCCUCGAAGAGGAGGGCGCCUCCGCGACCGUGGACGACCGGUGGAUGCAGUCCGUCGCCGCCGAGUUCAACCUCUCGGAGACCGCCUUCCUCGCCCGUGACUCCUCCGGGGCAGCCGGCGCAGCCCCGCGGUUCCACCUCCGAUGGUUCACUCCCGUCACCGAGGUUGACCUCUGCGGCCACGCGACGUUGGCCUCUGCGCACUUCCUCUUCACGACCGUUCUUCCGGAGCAUGGCAAGCUGGAGUUCAUGACCAGGUCCGGGAUCCUAACUGCCAAGAAAGUCCCUGCACCAGGGAGCACUGGCGUCCCAGGUGAGGAGCAGGGGAAGCUGUUUAUUGAGCUGGAUUUCCCCAUGAUUGGUUUUCUGGAAUGCAACGAAAUGCUGUCGAUUCCGGAGACCCUAAAUGGUGCUCCCAUUGUCAGCGUUCACAAAUCGGCUACCGACGGUGACCUCAUUGUACCGUCUCCCCCCUAUUUUUGCUUGCAUAGUUACAUACUUACAUUUGAUGAUCAACUUCUUUGUUUUAUAAUGGAGCAUGCUGGUACGAAUGUGGGACUUUCUUCAGGAAAAGAAGUUGUGGAUAUCCUUCCUAGCAUCGAUGAAAUUAAAAACUUGGCCUGCAGGGGUCUUAUUGUUACAGGACCGGCACCUGCUGGAUCUGGUUAUGACUUCUUUACACGUUUCUUCUGCCCAAAAUUUGGGAUAGAUGAGGACCCCGUUACUGGCAGUAUACAUUGUGUUUUGGCACCCUAUUGGGGCAGAAAGCUGGGGAAGCAAAAAUUGACGGCAUUUCAAGCAUCUCCAAGAGGUGGAACACUAUACCUGCAACUGGAUGACGCAAAUCAGAGAGUGCAAAUCCAGGGAGAAGCUCUUACUGUGAUGGAUGGAACGCUCCUAGCCUAG
rnacentral:rRNA from 1 species